rnacentral:lncRNA from 13 species
GUCUUCUUAGGAUACAGUACUUAGUUAAUACCAGCAAUCAAAAACAAUUGUGUGGUUAUAUCUCAUGAUCAGUACAAAACUUUCAUUCAUUGAUUGAAAGUAAUGCGUUCAAAUUUUUUCCAAAAGUUAGAUAAUAAUGAAAAUGUUAUUUAGAAAUUUCCUGCAGAGCCUGAUUCCUGCUUCUUUUUUUUCCUCUUGCUAAAGGUGAUCAUCGUAAACAGAACUUAAAACAAUUGUCCACUCACAGAGAUUCCUGAUUUUAAUGAGGUGCUGAUGUGCUUAGUUAAAAAAUGCCUCCAUUUCUCCAUCUUCCCUGCAUGCAGGGAGGCCUUGCUGGGGGCGUGCAGCACAGUGACACGAUCACCUCUUAUUGCAGCUUCAACCUCCUGGACUCAAGCAAUUUGUCUACCUCAUCCUGUUCAAUAGUUAGGACUACAGGUAUGUGCCACCAUGCCUGGCUAAUUUAUUACUUUUUAUUUUUUGUAGAGAUAGGGUCUUGCUAUGUUGCCUGGGCUGCCUCAAAAUCCCAAACUCUAGAAAUCCCAAAAUGUUUUCCUCUUUCCUGCCUAAAGGAUGGGAAUGAUGGCUAGAAUUGAAGGAGACAUUACUCGGAAAGUACAAUUUAAAAGCAUAAUGAUAUACCUCCUUACACCUGUCAGAAUGGCUAAAAUUUAAGAAAAAUGACAAUGCUAAGUGCUGGGAUUACAGGUGUGAACCACUCUGCCUGGCCCCAUCUUUAAAGGAAGUACUUAUGUUAGGAGGGCAAUGUAGGUAGGGAACAGGUUAGUCUGAGAAAUUGGAUUUUGGUGUUUUUUUUCCCAUCUUAAUGUCUCCUACUGAAGACAUUUGAAGAGGGUCAGAACUGAGGGAGAGAUAAGCCAUAUGUUUAGCUUUUUUCCUUUCUGGUAUAUAAAUGUUAAUAUGCCAGAUGAAUUUCACCAUAGCAGUUGUUAUGGGGAUAACAUAGGGAUGAAAUAUCAGGAAGUUCCCCUCCCCGCCCCCGAAAUCUCUUUAAACCGAGAAACAUGAUUUUUAAAAGUUUUAAUAUAAAAAUAGUUUUGAAAUCCUAGAUUAGUUUUAUUAUUAGAAAUGAGAAUGAUUUGGAAGGAAUAUUUGGUGGCGAGGAGCAAUCUAAUGAGACAGCUGAAAUCCUACAAAAGCAGGAAGAGCAGUGGCAUCUGAAUGAAAUAAAGCUGCAGCCGGCUCAGGUCA